GUUAGAACGCUCGUAGUCGGAUUUCGGGGCGGGCCGACCGGUCUGCCGAUGGGUACGCACUGGUCGGCGCGUCCUUCCCUCCGGAGACCGUGCCUACUCUUAACUGAGCGGGGGCGGGAGACGGAACGUUUACUUUGAAAAAAUCAGAGUGUUUCAAGCAGGCAGCUCGCUCUUGCAUGGAUUAGCAUGGGAUAAUGAAAUAGGACUUUGGUGCUAUUUUGUUGGUUUCGAACACCGAAGUAAUGAUGAGAAGGGACAGUCAGGGGCACUCGUAUUCCACCGAGAGAGGUGAAAUUCUCAGACCAGUGGAAGACGAACCACUGCGAAAGCAUUUGCCAGGGAUGUUUUCACUGAUCAAGAACGAAAGUUAGGGGAUCGAAGACGAUCAGAUACCGUCGUAGUCUUAACCAUAAACCAUGCCGACUAGGGAUUGGGGGAUGUUCACUGAUUGACUCCCUCAGCACCUUACGGGAAACUAAAGUCUUUGGGUUCCGGGGGGAGUAUGGUCGCAAGGCUGAAACUUAAAGGAAUUGACGGAAGGGCACCACCAGGUGUGGAGCCUGCGGCUUAAUUUGACUCAACACGGGGAAACUUACCAGGUCCAGACAUUGUGAGGAUUGACAGAUUGAGAGCUCUUUCUUGAUUCGAUGGGUGGUGGUGCAUGGCCGUUCUUAGUUGGUGGAGUGAUUUGUCUGGUUAAUUCCGUUAAC
rnacentral:rRNA from 1 species